rnacentral:rRNA from 1 species
UACGUAGGGUGCAAGCGUUGUCCGGAAUUAUUGGGCGUAAAGAGCUCGUAGGCGGCUCGUCGCGUCGGAUGUGAAACCUCGGGGCUCAACCCCGAGCCUGCAUUCGAUACGGGCGGGCUAGAAUUCGGUAGGGGAGACUGGAAUUCCUGGUGUAGCGGUGAAAUGCGCAGAUAUCAGGAGGAACACCGAUGGCGAAGGCAGGUCUCUGGGCCGACAUUGACGCUGAGGAGCGAAAGCGUGGGGAG